UUGAGCCGUGUGCGGUGAAAGUCGCAUGCACGGUUCUUAGAGGGCUUGGGGCUGGCAACAGCCCCCGGCUACUCGAC
rnacentral:ncRNA from 1 species